rnacentral:rRNA from 1 species
ACUCCUACGGGAGGCAGCAGUGGGGAAUUUUGGACAAUGGGGGAAACCCUGAUCCAGCUAUGCCGCGUUAGUGAAGAAGGCCUUCGGGUUGUUUUGCUCUUUCAGCCGGAACGAAACGGUCACGGCUAAUAGGAGUGAUCACUGACGGUACCGGAAGAAGAAGCACCGGCUAACUACGUGCCAGCAGCCGCGGUAAU